rnacentral:rRNA from 1 species
AGCGAACGCUGGCGGCAGGCUUAACACAUGCGAGUCGAGCGGGCACUUUCGGGUGUCCGCGGCGGACGGGUGAGUAACGCGUGGGAACGUGCCCUCUGGUUCGGAAUAACUCAGGGAAACUUGAGCUAAUACCGGAUACGCCCUUUUGGGGAAAGGCUUGCUGCCGGAGGAUCGGCCCGCGUCUGAUUAGCUAGUUGGUGAGGUAACGGCUCACCAAGGCGACGAUCAGUAGCUGGUCUGAGAGGAUGAUCAGCCACACUGGGACUGAGACACGGCCCAGACUCCUACGGGAGGCAGCAGUGGGGAAUAUUGGACAAUGGGCGCAAGCCUGAUCCAGCCGUGCCGCGUGAGUGAUGAAGGCCUUAGGGUUGUAAAGCUCUUUUAUCCGGGACGAUAAUGACGGUACCGGAGGAAUAAGCCCCGGCUAACUUCGUG